rnacentral:rRNA from 1 species
AACGAACGCUGGCGGCAGGCCUAACACAUGCAAGUCGAACGAGGUCUUCGGAUCUAGUGGCGGACGGGUGAGUAACGCGUGGGAACGUGCCCUUCUCUACGGAAUAGUCCUGGGAAACUGGGUUUAAUACCGUAUACGCCCUUCGGGGGAAAGAAUUUCGGGGAAGGAUCGGCCCGCGUUGGAUUAGGUAGUUGGUGGGGUAAUGGCCUAACCCAAGCCGACGAGUCCAUAGCUGGUUUAGAGACGGAAUGAUCAGCCACACUGGGACUGAGACACGGCCCAGACUCCUACGGGAGGCAGCAGUGGGGAAUCUUAGACAAUGGGGGCAACCC